GUGAUAAAUCACACAAAAAGUGCUUAAGUUCAUUUGGCCCACAGAAAGGCAAGGUAAAUAUGAUUAUAGUCUCUGUGGUGGAAAAAAGAAAUCCAGUUGUUGCUGAACAAGCCACCAGUUUGAUGCAGAGACUUUGAUUCAUCAAAAUCUGAUAACGUAAAGGUUUGCAUAUGGAGACAUAUCGGUCAUACCCCAUCACUGCUAGAAGCAUACAAUUUGUACAUGCAAAGCCCAGGAAAAUGCACAUCUGAGUGGCACAGCCAAUGAAGGAAAUGGUCUUCUUCUCUCUCAGAAAAUUUGCAAACAUAUUGGGGAUAAUGACAAGUGAGUAGCAGAUUUCUGAGAAGGAGAGGAUGGAGAGGAAGAAGUACAUGGGGAUGUGGAGGCUGCGAUCAAUCCGUAUCGUAGUGAUGAUGAUUAUAUUUGCGAUCAAAGUUACCAGGUAGAUUAGAGAGAACACAAAAAACAAUGGAACCUGCAGGUCUGGGAAAUUGGAAAAUCCAGCGAAGAUAAAUUCUGUCACCGCUGUUUGAUUUUCUCUUCCCAUUGAUGCAGCAUCUGAAAAUAAACUUUAAAGAUGUUACAGAUUGCAACAGUGCUCGUCAGCUGAUGUUUAAUACAAAAAUACUGGGGGAGAUGCUUGUUCAUAAAAUGAUUUUUUUGUUUUUUCUUCUUUAUUAAAUUUAUGUACUGCCCUUCAGCUGACUAUCACAGGCCACUUUACAACAUAAAAACACAAAAUGCAUAACGUGACCGUAAAAAUGCAAUAAUAACAAAUUAAAGAACAAGCCAAUUGAUGUGCCUUAAACAUCACUCUAUACAGCUGCCUGAGAAAAGGCCAUCUCCAUUUGCCCAGUGGUAGAACCGGCCUCAGUAGACAGAGCUAGCACAACGGUUGAGCAACCAGCAACCUAAUUGUGUCACCCCUUAGACCAAUUAUUACAUUCACUUGACCAAUAAGUCUACACUGCAGAGUUGAAUGUCUGAUAUCUCCCUUUCGAGGAAUCCUGGGAAUGUCUGCUCCCAACUUAGUGAGGCGUAAGAGCCAGUUUACAAAACUGAAUUUUCCAUAGAACUAAAAUUUUAGCAAUCAGACAACAUCUUGGCAUAGUUCAUCACCAUAGAUUAAAAUUCUGUAUUCUUUUAAUUGAUGGAAUUCCACUGUGAAUGAAUGUCUGGCUACAGCCCACAAACUGAGGAAGGAGCACAGAGGCAAGUGAGCUGAAGAGUUUGAGGCUUCACAAUAUUCCUGUCAAUUGCAAAAUUAACAGCAUCACAAGGCAUAAUUCUGAACACCACUAGAAUAUUUUAUUGAGGAGCAUGCUUUUCUUCAGCUGCCUUUUAAAGAGUCAUACAAUUGGUGUCUAUUCCAAAUUGUAGCAGCUCUCCAGGGUCUCAGGUUGAUGUCUUCACUAGUCCUGCUAAGCUACCUCAUACUCCUUCAGGAAAAUAUUGGAUCUGGAGCCUUCUGUAUGAAAAACAGUAACUCUGCCAUUGAGUAUGAAUCUUGUUCCCAAGACAAAAGGAGUCAGGGGGCUGUGAAAUUGUUCUUAUUUCCCUUUAAAUUGGCAAAAACAAGAGCAUCAGAAGGGCUGAAUGAAUGAAUUCAAACCAAAGCUGCAGAAUCUCAAACCACAAUAGACUUACAAAGAAGCACGAUGGAUGUUGAGCUCUUCCAAAUGACACCAAUUUGCCACAAUAUCCUUUUUAUGAUGUUUUCAUUGAGCAUGGAAUGAUGUAAACCACUUUAUAAAUCCCACCAGAUAUUAUCUCCACGGUGUUUCAAAACGUAAAAUAAAUCAACCAUCUUAUUAUCAAAGGGAGUUGUUAAAAGCUACAAGUAAUAAUUAACAAUACAUGUAAUUUUAUCCAGUAUUGUGGGUCAACCCUUGACAAUGGAUCCAGAUUUGGCAUUACUUUCUCUAGAAAGCAAUACAACCCAACCAUUGACCGCUAUCCUCUUGUAUUUAUGUUCUAAGCAGCAGCUAAAAUCUCCAUUGCUCGUCACUAGAAAUCCAGAUCCCCAUCCCGGUAUUGUUGGUUUGGAUGGUUAUGGGACAUUGCUCUCUCUAAACAUCUAACAUGCCAGAGAAGGCAUUAAAAAACUUUGAGGAAAUAAGAGAACACAUCUCAGACUGGUUCCAAUACCAUCAGCUAUUUGAAAAAUUUAAAUCUGACAAACAAAGGGGGUUCUCAACAGAAAUUUCCCGAUUCGAAUCUGAUCUUGUAAAUUCUAAAAGAAAAACUCUUUCCAAAACUUAUCCACUCCUUCUUGACUGGACAGUAAAGGAGGAGGAGGCAACAGUGGCAAUGGUGAGGUGGUCCCAGGAUUUUGGCCAUUCAAUAACCAUGGCCCAAUGGGAAAAUUUAUGGAAGAUCAAUUGGAAAUUCACAAAUUGUUACCCGAUUAGAGAGAACUUUCAAAAAAUGCAACAUCGAUGGUAUCUAACACCAUGGAAACUUUCAAAAAUGUAUAAAAAUAUGUCAAGUAAUUGUUGGAGAUGCGUGAAUCAGGAACAUUCUACCAUAUGUGGUGCAUAUGUAGGAAAAUACAGGUAUUCUGGGAGAGUAUCCAUGUAGAACUGCAAAAAAUGUUAAAGAUCUCUUACAAUAAAACACCAGAGGCCUACCUCCUGGGAAUAACAGAUUUGGAUAUUCCACAAAAGAGGAAGGGUAUCUUUUUAUAUGCGAUGGUGGCAGAAAGAGUUUUGAUCGCAGCAAAAUGGAAGAGUAAUGAAAUCCCCUCUAUACAAGAUUGGAUCCAAAAGCUGACAGUAUAUGCCGAAUUAGAUGGUUUAUCAGAAAAAAUAAAGAAUAAAUCAAAACAGGGAUUUGUUUCAAAAUGGGAGGUUUUCAAAGAUUAUCUGAAAAAUAAAUAUAGUAGUUUAAAUUCUGUUGCAGCAUUCGAGGAACUUCAGUAAUACUUGCAAGGUAGAUAUAAGAAAUUAGAUUUAUUGAGAAUAAGUUUAAUUAUGAGAAAAGUGUGUACUGGCAAAAAGUAAUAUGAAUUUGAAAUAUGGAAUAGACAGGAGGUUGGGUCUUUAGUGUUAAGACCAAUAGAUGUUUCAUUGUUUGCUAAGAAAAUUAUGUGUCUAUGGUUAUUUUUGUAAUUUGUGUGUAAUUUGGUAUUUGUGUGUGUGCGUUUUUCUUGUUGUAUAAAUAAAAAACUUUUUUAAAAAAAAUGCCAGAGAGGGCUUAGCGGCAGGGAGACAAAAACAGGCUGUUUCUAUUCCAUUUGGUAGCUCUUUCUAUCCUUUGGCAAUGCCGAGCCAAACAAGCACCAAAUGUCCCGUAGCCCAAAUAAACCUCUGGAGAAGUUCUCCGUAUGUUUAGUUGAUAUUAUAUGGUAUUAUAUAGUUGAUAUUAUAUAGUAAACACCUGGCUUGGGCAUCUACGUUUUUAGCAGCAUUGCAUGAAUGGUUCUUUUUUCCAUUGUUGUUGUUGGAAUCAUAGAAUCUUAGAGUUGGAAGGGACAUGUCAUGAAUGAGCCAGCUCCCAGUGAAGGAAGCAGUUACGAAGAGAGAGGGUUAAAUGGCAGACAAGAGGAGCCUUGGCCAGGGUCAACUCCUCCGCCCGUUGGAAUGACAACUGAUAAUGUUGCACGCGAGCAGGAACCUAGCCAAAGCUGUCAGGAGUUUCAAACAGGAGCAAACAGAAACAUGGGUAGUUCAUCAGAAAAGGAAAAGACUGAGCUAAGCCAAUAAGUGUGGAUAAUAGGUGAAGGGGCUGUUGUUAGGAAGAAAAACAAGAGAAUUAGGGUUAGUAAGUUCAAUAUCUUCCGUCAUCACAGGAAGGAGUCAGAAGGGUCAUCAUGAUUAGUGGAGAAUGGGGGCACUGUAGAGCCAUCUGGAGAACACUGUGAUUGCAAUAAAUCUUCCUUUUUAAUUAACCACGCUGGCUGCGUUAUCAUGUCGGAAACUGGGACUCCUGACAGGGCCCAAGGGCCACCAUCGGCUGUGGUGAGGACUGCAGGGCCUGCUCCCUUAAAGGCCUUUCCAGCUGACCUAGGGAGCAAGGACCAGGCCCUCACACUUCCAGCUAUAAAGGGACUCCUGUGGCAGAAACUGCCUUCUUGGCUGCUGAACCCACUAUUGAUCUCAUCAGCUCAAUGCACCAGAGCCUGUCUUCGCAUACGGGAGAAUUCCUCCUUGACACACAGACACACACACAGCGGCGUAGCGUGGGUUGUCAGCACCCGGGGCAAGGCAAGUAAUUUGCGCCCCCUAACCCCUAAGCUGCCGCCGCUGCCAGCUUCUUCUUGCUGCUGCCUGGGCUGGUCUGGUGUGGUUCUCUCCCGCGCUCAGCGCUGCGCUGGGCGGCCGCUGCACUGUCCCUCCCCAGAUAGUCCCUCGCUCUCUCUCGGCACCGCACGCCUGGCACCCACCCCCCUCCACAGUGGGCGGCGACCCAGCGGCUCGGAUCGGAUUCGCACAGCCAGCACUGCAGUGAGAGAGAGUGAGUGAGCCAGGUAGGGGCAGAGAGCUGCGAGUGCAAGCGCGCCCCCCCCCCCAGAUGUUGUGACCGGUGCGGCCGGCCCCCCCUGCACCCCCCACGCUACGCCACUGCACACACAGGCACUAUAGCUAAUUCAGUAACUUCUUUCAAUACUCCCAUUCUCCCCAGGUAACAGCUUAGACUGUGCGGAAAAGGUGCUGAAGAAUGGACACCAUUCAGACCAUUCUAUCCCAACCACACCAUACAGUAGAAUUGCACCCAACCCCUUCCACACUACUGAAUUAUACUGGACCUUUCUUGAUAUAUUGUGUGUUUUAUGGUAGAAGGAAAAUCAGCCUGGCAGCUACAUUAUUCUAGAAUGCCAACUGAAGGACAAAAACAUUAUGUGGUCCAAUGCAGGAAAAUCGGGGGGUGAGGGGUCCACUCAGACAUGAUAGCACUGCAAAUUAACGAUCCAAUUGCAUAUCUGAUUAUGUAAUGGGAAUAUAAUAUGAUAUAGCCUUUCUUUGGGCAUGGCUUUGAAAGUAAUUAAAGUGUCAGGUUUAAAAUAUAUAUAUAUAUAUAUAUAUAUAUAUAUAUAUAUAUAUAUAUGAAUGCUAAAAUAUAUGCAUAUUGAAAAAUAGCAAUACUCCAUUUUGUGUACAAUAUAUUAUUACAUUCUUGCCAACACUUUAUAAAAAGCAAAUGUCAGAACAUACUACAUGAAAGCAAAAGAGCAGAAAUUAAGUGUGUUUGGUUACAAGAAUUCCAACUUUGAAAAAAGAUUCCCUCCUUAAAAAUAGCCAUUACUGGGGACAAGGAGGGGCAGAAAAAGCUACCUCCACAAAGAUAAACAGAAAUGUACCCCAAACUGGACCCAACCAAAAUAUACGGGUGGCAGCUAUUCAACAAGAACAAUUUUGACACUUCAGUCUCAGCACUAUAUGAGCUUGAAAUAGUUCUGCGUGAAAUAAGGGAGGCCUAUAAUUUGGACAAAAAAAUUGGUUUCCAGGUGGAAAAAUCAAAAUUAGAAACAGAACUGUUAGAACCCAAAACUAAGAUUUUGUCAAAGAUGUAUAACUUGCUGUUGAAAUGGAAUACUCAGGAUGAAACGGUGAAAUCUGCUAUGAUUAAAUGGGCACAAGAUGUUGGACAUAACAUUAUGUUUGCUGACUGGGAACAGUUGUGGACCACUGGUAUGAAAUUUACGGCAUGUAAUGCCCUAAGAGAGAAUAUUAUGAAAAUGAUAUACAGGUGGUACAUGACACCAGUCAAGGUUGCAAAAAUCUAUCAUUUGCCCGAUAAUAAAUGUUGGAAAUGUAAAGAAAACGAAGGUACAUUCUUUCACCUUUGGUGGACGUGCCCAAAGAUUAAGGUUUUCUGGGAGAUGAUCUAUAAUGAAAUGAAAAAGGUAUUUAAAUAUACCUUUCUAAAGAAACCAGAGGCCUUCCUGCUGGGCAUAGUCGGCCAAUUGGUGCCAAAGAAGGACAGAACUUUCUUUAUGUAUGCCACAACAGCAGCAAGAAUACUUAUUGCAAAGUAUUGGAAGACACAAGAUCUACCCACUCUGGAAGAAUGGCAGAUGAAGAUGAUGGACUAUAUGGAACUGGCGGAAAUGACUGGCAGAAUCCGAGACCAGGGAGAAGAGUCGAUGGAAAAAGAUUGGAAAAAGUUUAAAGACUAUUUACAGAAAUAUUGCAAAAUUAAUGAAUGCUAGAAUGAUGUUGGAUAGAAACUAAGUGGUUUUUAGCUGUAAGGUUAUAAGGGAAUAUGAAAAAAUGGAUUAUUAACAGGUAAAAAUUUAAUGUUACAAUAUAUAUGAUUAAAGACUAGGAUAUACAAAGAGGGGAGGGAUUUCCUGAACCAACAAAUUGAACUGGAAUACAAAAAAGGGAGGCGUGAGGAGGUCCGGGAAAUAAGCAAAUGAAAGAUAAGUAAUGGAAAGAAUGAAUUGUUUUUAACCAUUUUUAUUUUGUAUUUUUCUUUUUUCUUUUUUCAUUUUGUAAUAUCUUGAAAAUCUUAAUAAAUAUCUUAUAAAAAAAAUGAAAUAGUUCUGCGUGAAUGAUUGGUAGAGAAAAUGUGGGCUAGGAUUUGGGAGAAAACAACAGUAAUCUUUAGAAAAGUUUCCUGUGUUGCAGGGCUGAAUGAUUACAGGUUCAUUUAUGAGAAAAUUCCCACAACCCAAUUUAUUUUCCAGUGAUGUACUAAAGAGAAAAUCAAAGUUGUUUGUAACUGCUAAAGCAAGGCCACAUUUUUCCAAGUGAAUAUUCCAUAUACAAAUGAUUUUUUAAAAAGAUGAGAAAAAGCUACAAUACUAUUUGAGGCAUUCUUUGUCCAUCAAACUACACAUAAUUGUUGGGUUUCAUAAUUCCUCUUCAAAGUGGAUAACGCUUAAUUUUCACAUUCUUUGGGUGCAGGAGCUUUUGCCAAGCGAUUUCUUAAGUGCUAUUUGAACAUCUUUGUUUCUCAGGCUGUACACCAAGGGGUUCAACAAGGGAGUCACCAUUGUGUAAGAGACAGAAAUAAAAAUAGUCUGAUCUAGCGUGUAACUGGAUUUGGGCCUUAAGUAGAUAAUGCAAGCACACCCGAAGUGCACUACGACCACGAUAAGAUGGGAGGCACAAGUGGAAAAGGCUUUACGCUUCCCAGCCGUUGUGGGGAUUUUCAAGACAGUGUUUGCAAUUAAAAUGUAUGAGAGAAGGAUGAACAAGAAUGAACAAAUUACAGCCAAAACACAAAUAAGGGUAAUGACAAUUUCCCCGAUGUAGUUUCGGCCACAGGCUAAUUCAAGCAAAGGUGAUAAAUCACAAAAGAAGUGCUUAACUUUAUUUGGUCCACAGAAAGGCAAGGUAAAUAUGAUUAUAGUCUCUGAGGUGGAAAAAAGAAAUCCAGUUGUUGCUGAACAAGCCACCAGUUUGAUGCAGAGACUUUGAUUCAUCAAAAUCUGAUAACGUAACGGUUUGCAUAUGGAGACAUAUCGGUCAUACCCCAUCACUGCUAGAAGCAUACAAUUUGUGCAUGCAAAGCCCAGGAAAAGGAACAUCUGAGUAACACAGCCAAUGAAGGAAAUGGUCGUCUUCUCUCUUAGAAGAUUUGCAAGCAUAUUGGGGAUAAUGACCAGUGAGUAGCAGAUUUCUGAGAAGGAGAGGAUGGAGAGGAAGAAGUACAUGGGGAUGUGGAGGCUGCGGUUAAGCCGUAUCGUAGUGAUGAUGAUUAUAUUUCCCAUCAAAGUAACCAGGAACAUAAGAGAGAACACCAGAAACAACAUAACCUGCAGGUCUGGGAAAUUGGAAAACCCAACAAGGAUAAAUUCUGUCACUAUUGUAUGAUUUUCUCUUCCCAUUGAUGUAGAAUCUGAAAAUGAACUUUAAAGAUGUUACAGAUUGCAACAGUGCUCGUCAGCUGAUGUUUAAUACAAAAAUACUGGG
rnacentral:lncRNA from 1 species